GUUUUCUCUUACAUUUCUCUCUGUGCACCUCUAUGAAAAAUCCUGAGAGGGAGAGAAAUGUGCUUGCCACAGGUAACAUAAUUUGAAUGCCUGCCAGUAGGUGCUUAUCUCUCAAAACUCUCCCAUUUUCAUUUUCAGAAUUUGAUAAAUGAACUUAAAUGCCAGAGCCUGAGGGAGUUGUAAUCAUCCUUUGGAAAACAAACUUAAACAACCACCAAGUUCAACUGACACUGUCCAGUCUGUUAAUUCAGGAUUUCUUCUGCAGUUUCUGUCCUUGCAUAUCUAGACAAUGUGAAAACUGCAAAAAGAAAAUUGAAUGGUUUAUAAGAAACAAGAUAGGAAGUCCAAUAUGAAAAUGAGAAUAAAUAGUAAUCAGACAGAAAAAGGGAUGCUGUGAGCUUGGCUGCUGUCACCAUCAUUAAA